rnacentral:rRNA from 1 species
ACUCCUACGGGAGGCAGCAGUGGGGAAUAUUGCACAAUGGGGGAAACCCUGAUGCAGCCAUGCCGCGUGUGUGAAGAAGGCCUUCGGGUUGUAAAGCACUUUCAGCGAGGAGGAAAGGUUGGCAGCUAAUAUCUGUCAGCUGUGACGUUACUCGCAGAAGAAGCACCGGCUAACUCCGUGCCAGCAGCCGCGGUAAUACGGAGGGUGCAAGCGUUAAUCGGAAUUACUGGGCGUAAAGCGCACGCAGGCGGUUGGAUAAGUUAGAUGUGAAAGCCCCGGGCUCAACCUGGGAAUUGCAUUUAAAACUGUUCAGCUAGAGUCUUGUAGAGGGGGGUAGAAUUCCAGGUGUAGCGGUGAAAUGCGUAGAGAUCUGGAGGAAUACCGGUGGCGAAGGCGGCCCCCUGG